UUUAUUUUAUUUGAGACAGGGUCUCAUUGCCAGGUUGUUCUCAAACUCCUGACCUCAAGAGAUCCUCCCGCCUCGGCCCCACAAAGCACUGGGAUUACAACCAUGAGCCACCACGCCUAGCUUUAGUUUUUAUACUAUCUCACCCACUCCAACCUGGGAUAUUUACAGACUCCCAAGGUUAAAAUGUGCAUUAAAAGUCAUCUAACUGAACUACAAAUCCAAGACAUCCUUUACUCCAAAUCUGGUCUGUGAACCAACAACAUGGGCAUCAUCUAUUUGGGAGCUCCUUAGAAAUGUAGAAUCUCAGGCUCCACCCUCAGACCCACUGAAUCAGAAACCAUUUUAAAAAGAUCCCCAGGUGACUCAUGUGCACAUUAGAGUUUGAAAAGCAUUAUUACACAACAUAUUCAAGACAUUGUCACUGGACCGCCUGAUUGCCACCAUCAUGAGUCGCAUGCACACUCCUGGGAAGGGCCUGUCUCAAUCGGCUCUGCCCCGUCACUGCAAGGUUCCCACUUGGCUGAAGUUGACAUCUGAUGACAUGAAGGAGCAGACUUACAAACUGACCAAGAAGGGUCUGCCUCCCUCACAAAUCAGUGUGAUCCUGAGGCUCAUACGGUGUUACACAAGUAUGUUUUGUGACAGGCAAUACAAUCUUAAGAAUCCUUAAGUCCAAAAGACUCGCUCCUGAUCUCCCAGAGGAUCACUACUGUUUAAUUAAGCAAGCAGUUGCUAUUCAAAAGCAUCUUGAGAGGAACAGAAAGGAUAAGGAUGCCAAAUUCCAUCUGAUUCUGAUAGACGAAUUCACCGACUGGCUCAAUAUUACUAAUACACGACCAAGCAAAUCCUCCCUCCCAACUGGAAAUAUGAGUCAUCCACAGCCUCUGCCCUGGUUGCAUAAGUUUGUCUAUGUACUCAAGUAAUAAAAUGAUUGUUCACUGAAAAAAAAGUAGUCACUGAGGAAGCAACAUCAUGUGUUUUAAGCUAGAGUAUAUCUGUGAUACAGAAACUAGCACCUAUAAACUACUAUGCCAAUUUAGAUAGCCCAGACCAGCAUUACUCCUUCUAAUCAAAUUUGAUCACUCACCUCAAGACCCAUCUCAGGACCCAUUUUUUUUUUCCUUCAUGAAAUCUCCCUGAAGAAUCUAGCCUAAAUUAAGCUUAUCUCCCCUGCUAGCUGCAGCCCUACUAUACAUUUGGGCACUUGAUUAUUUCAACUUAGCAUUAUAUAUUUAUCAUCUUUAAAAUGCCAUGUCCAAGUCUUGAAAUUCUAGCAAGAUUUUAAGCUCCUGAAUUAUAAAAACAUACCCUAUUUUUUUAAAUUCCACAGUAACAAUGAAAAACAACAAACAAAAUUUCUGGAAAUUUGUUCACAAAUUAUUAAUAGAAAUUAUUAGGGGAAAGAAAGGAGGGCUCAUGGUGAAUGAAGUUUGGAAAACAAUGAGGUCCAAGGCUUUUUGCUGCGAAACUUCUAAGAGUAUUAUCAUAACAUGCAAAGUAAAUCUCUAAGGAUGGAAUAAAGUAUAUAACAUUUCACAAACUUAUUUGAUCAAGCUCUCUUUUUUCAUGAAACAUCUGCAGGUACUAGUUUCCCAAAUAUACUCUGGAAAUAAGUACUAUGUACCACUGAAAUGAAGCCAAAAAAAAAAAAAA